UAUGUACUCCCUCCGUCCCAAAAUUCUUGUCUUAGAUGCGUCUAGAUACAGAUGUAUCUAAUAUUAAAACAUGACUUGAUACAUUUGUAUUUAGAAAAAUCUAAGACAAGGAUUUUGGGAUGGAGGGAGUAAUUC
rfam:Triticum aestivum genome assembly, contig: Triticum_aestivum_CS42_TGACv1_scaffold_221734_3B